GGUACUCUGUUUAUAUCGUUGCUAAAGUAAUUUUUUGUGCCAACAAAAUUACAUUGGAAGCUUGUACUUUGGCUGCUGCAUAAAUGCCCUGACCUGGUUUCCGGGACUUAUAUAAGCAGGCAAGAGAGCAUCCACCUGCUGAGUGCAGGGCGCAAAAACUUGCUAUAACUACGACUAGAUGGGGUAUCC
rnacentral:other from 1 species